rnacentral:rRNA from 1 species
AACGAACGCUGGCGGCAUGCCUAACACAUGCAAGUCGAACGAGACCUUCGGGUCUAGUGGCGCACGGGUGCGUAACGCGUGGGAAUCUACCCUCAGGUUCGGCAUAACUCAGAGAAAUAUGAGCUAAUACCGGAUGAUGACGUAAGUACAAAGAUUUAUCGCAUGAGGAUGAGCCUGCUUAGGAUUAGGUAGUUGGUGAGGUAAAGGCUCACCAAGGCGACGAUGCUUAGAUGGUCUGAGAGGAUGAUCAGCCACACUGGGAUUGAGACACGGCCCAGACUCCUACGGGAGGCAGCAGUGGGGAAUAUUGGACAGUGGGCGAAAGCCUGAUCCAGCAAUGCCGCGUGAGUAAUGAAGGCCUUAGGGUUGUAAAGCUCUUUUACCCGGGAUGAUAAUGACAGUACCGGGAGAAUAAGCUCCGGCUAACUCCGUG